CCUACGGGAGGCAGCAGUGAGGAAUAUUGGUCAAUGGGCGCGAGCCUGAACCAGCCAAGUCGCGUGAGGGAUGAAGGUUCUAUGGAUCGUAAACCUCUUUUAUAAGGGAAUAAAGUGUGGGAUGUGUCCUAUUUUGUAUGUACCUUAUGAAUAAGGAUCGGCUAACUCCGUGCCAGCAGCCGCGGUAAUACGGAGGAUCCGAGCGUUAUCCGGAUUUAUUGGGUUUAAAGGGUGCGUAGGCGGCCUUUUAAGUCAGCGGUGAAAGUUUGCGGCUCAACCAUAAAAUUGCCGUUGAAACUGGGAGGCUUGAGUACGUUUGAGGCAGGCGGAAUGCGUGGUGUAGCGGUGAAAUGCUUAGAUAUCACGAAGAACCCCGAUUGCGAAGGCAGCCUGCCAGGCCAUGACUGACGCUGAGGCACGAAAGCGUGGGGAUCAAACAGGAUUAGAUACCCCAGUAGUC
rnacentral:rRNA from 1 species